rnacentral:rRNA from 1 species
GCGGCAGGCCUAACACAUGCAAGUCGAGCGGUAGAGAGGUGCUUGCACCUCUUGAGAGCGGCGGACGGGUGAGUAAUGCCUAGGAAUCUGCCUGGUAGUGGGGGAUAACGCUCGGAAACGGACGCUAAUACCGCAUACGUCCUACGGGAGAAAGCAGGGGACCUUCGGGCCUUGCGCUAUCAGAUGAGCCUAGGUCGGAUUAGCUAGUUGGUGGGGUAAUGGCUCACCAAGGCGACGAUCCGUAACUGGUCUGAGAGGAUGAUCAGUCACACUGGAACUGAGACACGGUCCAGACUCCUACGGGAGGCAGCAGUGGGGAAUAUUGGACAAUGGGCGAAAGCCUGAUCCAGCCAUGCCGCGUGUGUGAAGAAGGUCUUCGGAUUGUAAAGCACUUUAAGUUGGGAGGAAGGGCAUUAACCUAAUACGUUAGUGUUUUGACGUUACCGACAGAAUAAGCACCGGCUAACUCUGUGCCAGCAGCCGCGGUAAUACAGAGGGUGCAAGCGUUAAUCGGAAUUACUGGGCGUAAAGCGCGCGUAGGUGGUUUGUUAAGUUGGAUGUGAAAGCCCCGGGCUCAACCUGGGAACUGCAUUCAAAACUGACAAGCUAGAGUAUGGUAGAGGGUGGUGGAAUUUCCUGUGUAGCGGUGAAAUGCGUAGAUAUAGGAAGGAACACCAGUGGCGAAGGCGACCACCUGGACUGAUACUGACACUGAGGUGCGAAAGCGUGGGGAGCAAACAGGAUUAGAUACCCUGGUAGUCCACGCCGUAAACGAUGUCAACUAGCCGUUGGGAGCCUUGAGCUCUUA